rnacentral:rRNA from 1 species
UACGUAGGGAGCAAGCGUUGUCCGGAUUUACUGGGUGUAAAGGGUGCGUAGGCGGCUUUGCAAGUCAGAUGUGAAAUCCACGGGCUCAACCCGUGAACUGCAUUUGAAACUGUUUCCCUUGAGUGUCGGAGAGGUAAUCGGAAUUCCUAGUGUAGCGGUGAAAUGCGUAGAUAUUAGGAAGAACACCAGUGGCGAAGGCGGAUUACUGGACGAUAACUGACGGUGAGGCGCGAAAGCGUGGGGAGCAAACAGG